UGCAGUCGAGCGGAACGAUGGUAGCUUGCUACCAGGCGUCGAGCGGCGGACGGGUGAGUAAUACUUAGGAAUCUACCUAGUAGUGGGGGAUAGCACGGGGAAACUCGUAUUAAUACCGCAUACGACCUACGGGAGAAAGGGGGCAGUUUACUGCUCUCGCUAUUAGAUGAGCCUAAGUCGGAUUAGCUAGAUGGUGGGGUAAAGGCCUACCAUGGCGACGAUCUGUAGCUGGUCUGAGAGGAUGAUCAGCCACACCGGGACUGAGACACGGCCCGGACUCCUACGGGAGGCAGCAGUGGGGAAUAUUGGACAAUGGGGGAAACCCUGAUCCAGCCAUGCCGCGUGUGUGAAGAAGGCCUUUUGGUUGUAAAGCACUUUAAGCAGUGAAGAAGACUCUUCGGUUAAUACCCGGAGACGAUGACAUUAGCUGCAGAAUAAGCACCGGCUAACUCUGUGCCAGCAGCCGCGGUAAUACAGAGGGUGCAAGCGUUAAUCGGAAUUACUGGGCGUAAAGCGAGCGUAGGUGGCUUGAUAAGUCAGAUGUGAAAUCCCCGGGCUUAACCUGGGAACUGCAUCUGAAACUGUUAGGCUAGAGUAGGUGAGAGGGAAGUAGAAUUUCAGGUGUAGCGGUGAAAUGCGUAGAGAUCUGAAGGAAUACCGAUGGCGAAGGCAGCUUCCUGGCAUCAUACUGACACUGAGGCUCGAAAGCGUGGGUAGCAAACAGGAUUAGAUACCCUGGUAGUCCACGCCGUAAACGAUGUCUACUAGUCGUUGGGU
rnacentral:rRNA from 1 species